AGAACGAACGCUGGCGGCAUGCCUAACACAUGCGAGUCGAACGCUUCACCGGUUUCGGCCGGUGGGGAGUGGCGCACGGGUGAGUAGCGCGUGGGAACCUGCCCUGUUGUGGGGGAUAACCGAGGGAAACUUCGGCUAAUACCGCAUAAGCCGGUUGUCUUGAAAGGGAUGGCCGGGAAAGAUUUAUCGCGACAGGAGGGGCCCGCGUCGGAUUAGCUAGUUGGUGGGGUAACGGCCCACCAAGGCUGUGAUCCGUAGCUGGUCUGAGAGGAUGAUCAGCCACACUGGGACUGAGACACGGCCCAGACUCCUACGGGAGGCAGCAGUGGGGAAUAUUGGACAAUGGGCGCAAGCCUGAUCCAGCAAUGCCGCGUGAGUGAUGAAGGCCUUAGGGUUGUAAAGCUCUUUCGCCCGCGACGAUGAUGACGGUAGCGGGAGAAGAACGCCCCGGCUAACUUCGUGCCAGCAGCCGCGGUAA
rnacentral:rRNA from 1 species